GAUGAACGCUGGCGGCGUGCCUAAUACAUGCAAGUCGAGCGAACGGACGAGGAGCUUGCUCCUCUGACGUUAGCGGCGGACGGGUGAGUAACACGUGGAUAACCUACCUAUAAGACUGGGAUAACUUCGGGAAACCGUAGCUAAUACCGGAUAAUAUAUUGAACCGCAUGGUUCAAUAGUGAAAGACGGUUUUGCUGUCACUUAUAGAUGGAUCCGCGCCGCAUUAGCUAGUUGGUAAGGUAACGGCUUACCAAGGCGACGAUGCGUAGCCGACCUGAGAGGGUGAUCGGCCACACUGGAACUGAGACACGGUCCAGACUCCUACGGGAGGCAGCAGUAGGGAAUCUUCCGCAAUGGGCGAAAGCCUGACGGAGCAACGCCGCGUGAGUGAUGAAGGUCUUCGGAUCGUAAAACUCUGUUAUUAGGGAAGAACAAAUGUGUAAGUAACUAUGCACGUCUUGACGGUACCUAAUCAGAAAGCCACGGCUAACUACGUG
rnacentral:rRNA from 1 species